CUCAAGAUACAAAGGGGGAGGCUUGAAAAAGAAAAAUAAAUCUUUUAAAGAAGGAAAAAUUCAACUGAGGGAAAACGUGGACACUGAAAAGGAAUGAAGAAAAGACAGAAGCAAGGAACAAGGAUGGUUUCUUGUGACUCCGACUUACAGAAUGCAGAAGGAAUGUGGAAGAAAAAAAUGGAGUGUCCAUCAGAGAUUCUUCCUCAUCUGCCCAUAUCAUCAGUUUCUUAAUAUCCUAUUCCUUUUCUGUUAAGUUUCUGCACACACACCAGCUUAAGGGAGUGAACAGGAGCAAUAGAUUCUUAAGGAAUUGGUA